rnacentral:lncRNA from 1 species
GAAAGCACCGCUUUACAGAUAUAUAUGUAGAUAAAAUUCGAGUUAGUAAAAAUAAUCUUAAACACUCGACCAUAGCAAUAAUACAACAAUCACUAUCUUUACAUAGGUUCAUUUGUUCGAAUUAUUAAUCUUUAAAUAAUUUAUUUGCUUUACACACUGUAGAUUUUAUGAGAGCACAUUAAUUGUAUACAUACACUCAUUCAAAAUCUUUGAAUUGUUAUACUAAUAAGGUUGUUAUUGAUAUUUGGUAUUAGUGGAUUACUGAUAAAAAGAUAAACCAGAGGAACAUGUUCUUGAUUCCUGAAGCGAUGGUUGUUAUCUGUAACCCUUCAGUUUUUUUAUGGAAUCACUUCAGCGUUCACCUUUUAGUGGUUUUAGGGCAUCUUUAUUGGUGGGAUGAAGAGAGAGAGGGAGAGAGUCCCUUGUUUUGCUUUUUUUUUUUUUUUUUUUUUGGUCAUUAAAGAGUAAGGGACAGCCCUUAAUUAAGGGCUUUUCCCUUUUCUUUCUUCCUCGGUUCCCACCCCCUUUCUCUAAGGGAUGCCUUAAGGAACCCCCAAUACAGAUGCCCUUAGUAUCUUGAUUUCUUUUGAAAGCCGAGAAAACUCGUUUUGCUGUCUUCCCUUUCAGUGAAUAGAAUAACAACUUAUUACGCCAAUAUUUUUUCAUUUCCUAAUGUUCCGAUUCUUGCUCUAUGUUAGCCUUCUGGAAAAUCAAGGACCACAUACAUAAUUUUCUCUAAAGAUGAAUCCACAUCACAUGUCGAGUUAUAUAAUUAUGGUGUUGUGUAGUGCCUACUCC